GCCCAGUUCCUUCAGUUUCGGCCCGACUGCGUUUUUUUCCUGUCCAUGCGAUUUUAGCUAUUUAUCCAGAGAAUGCAGUUUUACAGAAAAACCUUAGUCUUUAUGCAUAUAAUAACUCAUGAACCGUGCAUCAUAUUAAAAUGUUUUAUAUAUGUAAAAUGAUUAGGAUUUCAUCUACUUUCAUAAUACUCCCUCGUCCGGGAAAAGUUGUCCCCAUGGCGAUUUUACAAAAAAAAAAACCUCCCCAAACUCCCGACACAACCUGCGCGCUCCUCGUCUUCUCCAGACGAUGCUCGCCGCUCCGACACAGGCGCACGGACGCCGGAGCUCCUCUGCGCCGCGCUGCUCCCCUGUCUCCCGCGCGUCCUCCGCCGCCGCCGCAGCUGCCUCCUCCGCCGCUCCCUUUUGCCUCGCGCAGCUCCCCUGCCUCACUUGCCUGCCUCCCGAAUCUCCCCUCUUUGACCCCAAAAAUUGCUUCUUCUUCCUCUCGCCGUGUCUCUUGCUCGAGCCCACCACCUCCCACCUAGCGUUGACGGAAGAAGCGUGGCCAGCCCUCGGCCUGGCGGCCGGCGACGCGGCCUUCCCACCCCCGCCCCGGCCCCCGUGGCGUGGGGCGCGGCCGCGACGGCGCGGCGGGAGACGGUGGCCAAGGAAUCGUCCGCGCGCAGGCGGUGAGCUGGAUCGUGUCCAGCCGCGCCAACUCAAGUGGCCUGGCCGUGGACCUCGUCGACGCCAACGCCGUCAUCUCGGGAGGCGCCGCGCUCGCCUAAACCGCGGGCCGGCUGGUCACGGUGCUCGAGGAGGUGUGCGACGCUGCAGCGCGCCGGAGGCUCGCGCUCCUGCCCACCCCCGUCGAGACCACCGAGCCCGCCCCUGAGUUCGUCAAGGGAGUAGGGCCAGCUCGAACCGUGUGCACCAGGAAGAAGGCCAGCCCAAAGUUGAUGAAGGGAGAAAGCCAAUAGGAUGCCCUACAAAUCGAUUUCGAACAAGUUUACUGCAGUACCUGACGGCCUCUCACAGUCUGCAACCAGCCAACCACCUCUACUGGCUGCUGCCACUCCUCACAUUGGCUAGGUAAUUCCUCUUAAUUUCUAAGAAAGCUAUCCCCUGCUCUCCGUUGCAACAAGUUUAUGAAUUUUUAACUGAACUUCAACUGAAAAACUGUGUAUCACUGUAUAAAGGAGAAAAUGACUAUGGAUUAAAGGUCUGAGAAAACUGUGUACGUACACUAUGUAUCACUGUAUCAUGGAGCAGUAUAGUACUGAAAACAUCUCCAUAAAUGAAUUUUGACAGUUUACAAAUUCAGAGUUUGGAGUACUAGCAAUUAUCUUCAGCAAGACAAGUUUACAAACAUCUCCAUAACUGAAUUUUACAAAUUCUCCAUAAAUGAAGGCAUCUCCACAAAUUCUCCAUAAAUGAAUUUUGCUUGUACAUACACGGUGUACAAGCAAGAUAAAUUCAGCAAGACAAGUUUACAAAUUCUCCAUGAAUGAAUUUUGACAGUUUACAAACAUCUCCACGAAUACAUGGAAAGAAAAGUUUACAAAUUAUCUUCAGCAAUUAUCUUGCAGGUUCAUCAGCACUUG